rnacentral:rRNA from 1 species
UGAAAGGCGCUUUCGGGUGUCGCUGAUGGAUGGACCCGCGGUGCAUUAGCUAGUUGGUGAGGUAACGGCUCACCAAGGCCACGAUGCAUAGCCGACCUGAGAGGGUGAUCGGCCACACUGGGACUGAGACACGGCCCAGACUCCUACGGGAGGCAGCAGUAGGGAAUCUUCGGCAAUGGACGAAAGUCUGACCGAGCAACGCCGCGUGAGUGAAGAAGGUUUUCGGAUCGUAAAACUCUGUUGUUAGAGAAGAACAAGGACGUUAGUAACUGAACGUCCCUGACGGUAUCUAACCAGAAAGCCACGGCUAACUACGUGCCAGCAGCCGCGGUAAUACGUAGGUGGCAAGCGUUGUCCGGAUUUAUUGGGCGUAAAGCGA